GAUGAACGCUGGCGGCGUGCCUAAUACAUGCAAGUCGAGCGAACAGACGAGGAGCUUGCUCCUUUGACGUUAGCGGCGGACGGGUGAGUAACACGUGGAUAGCCUACCUAUAAGACUGGGAUAACUUCGGGAAACCGGAGCUAAUACCGGAUAACAUGUUGAACCGCAUGGUUCAACAGUGAAAGACGGUCUUGCUGUCACUUAUAGAUGGAUCCGCGCCGCAUUAGCUAGUUGGUAAGGUAACGGCUUACCAAGGCAACGAUGCGUAGCCGACCUGAGGGGGUGAUCGGCCACACUGGAACUGAGACACGGUCCAGACUCCUACGGGAGGCAGCAGUAGGGAAUCUUCCGCAAUGGGCGAAAGCCUGACGGAGCAACGCCGCGUGAGUGAAGAAGGUCUUCGGAUCGUAAAACUCUGUUAUUAGGGAAGAACAAAUGUGUAAGUAACUAUGCACGUCUUGACGGUACCUAAUCAGAAAGCCACGGCUAACUACGUG
rnacentral:rRNA from 1 species